rnacentral:rRNA from 1 species
GAUUAACGCUGGCGGCGUGCCUAACACAUGCAAGUCGAGCGGCAGCGAGUUUUACACUGAAUUCUGGAAGCUUCUAGUUGAAAGAGAAGAUUUAUUCAAGAAUUUUGUGUAAAAUGUCGGCGAGCGGCGGACGGCUGAGUAACGCGUGGGAACGUACCCCAAAGUGAGGGAUAACGUAUCGAAAGGUGUGCUAAUACCGCAUAUGGUCUUCGGAUUAAAGCCUUCGGGCGCUUUGGGAACGGCCUGCGUAAGAUUAGAUAGUUGGUGGGGUAAUGGCCUACCAAGUCGACGAUCUUUAACUGGUUUGAGAGGAUGAUCAGUCAGACUGGAACUGAGACACGGUCCAGACUCCUACGGGGAGCAGCAGUGAGGAAUCUUCCACGAUGGGGGAAAGCCUGAUGGAGCAACGCCGCGUGCAGGAUGAAGGCCUUCGGGUUGUAAACUGCUUUUAUAAGUGAGGAUUAUGACAGUAACUUAUGAAUAAGGAUCGGCUAACUACGUG